rnacentral:rRNA from 1 species
GACGAACGCUGGCGGCGUGCUUAACACAUGCAAGUCGAGCGGUAAGGCCCCUUCGGGGGUACACGAGCGGCGAACGGGUGAGUAACACGUGGGUGACCUGCCCUCAGCUCUGGGAUAAGCCUGGGAAACUGGGUCUAAUACCGGAUAUGACUCCAUGACGCAUGUCGUGGGGUGGAAAGCCUUGUGCGGCUGGGGAUGGGCCCGCGGCCUAUCAGCUUGUUGGUGGGGUGAUGGCCUACCAAGGCGACAACGGGUAGCCGGCCUGAGAGGGCGACCGGCCACACUGGGACUGAGACACGGCCCAGACUCCUACGGGAGGCAGCAGUGGGGAAUCUUGCGCAAUGGGCGAAAGCCUGACGCAGCGACGCCGCGUGAGGGAUGACGGCCUGGUGUAAC